rnacentral:rRNA from 1 species
UGGGGAAUUUUGGACAAUGGGCGCAAGCCUGAUCCAGCAAUGCCGCGUGCGGGAAGAAGGCCUUCGGGUUGUAAACCGCUUUUGUCAGGGAAGAAAUCUCUUGAGCUAAUACCUCGGGGGGGAUGACGGUACCUGAAGAAUAAGCACCGGCUAACUACGUGCCAGCAGCCGCGGUAAUACGUAGGGUGCGAGCGUUAAUCGGAAUUACUGGGCGUAAAGCGUGCGCAGGCGGUUGUGCAAGACAGAUGUGAAAUCCCCGGGCUCAACCUGGGAACCGCAUUUGUGACUGCACGGCUAGAGUGCGGCAGAGGGGGAUGGAAUUCCGCGUGUAGCAGUGAAAUGCGUAGAUAUGCGGAGGAACACCGAUGGCGAAGGCAAUCCCCGUGGGCCUGCACUGACGCU